GGGGGCGUAAAGGUUUCGACGGGAAGUUCUUUUAAAAGACAGCAAGCAGACUUUGAUUAAAAGUCUCAAAACAUAAUCAAAACUUAAGCGUCAAUAAAUAUGAUGCUCCAGCGUACGCUUAUUUAGCUUAAACUGGUGUCUACUAGCUUGAUUCUCGACCGAACUAGAUAGGCAUAAACCAGUCGAGAUUGACCAAAAGCUUUCGAUUUAAAGUUUUCGGUUAAAAAAUAAAAAUCUUACUCUAAUUCGUCCUGUUGGUUGGUAAGAAUUAGAGGAAAUAAAAUAAACCAAAUAAGCUUGUAGAAGUCUUUUAGUUGACUUUUCGGACGCGGGUUCAAUUCCCGCCGCCUCCACUC
rnacentral:tmRNA from 3 species